UCGAACGCGAAAGUGGAGCAAUCCAUGAGUAGAGUGGCAAACGGGUGAGUAACGCGUGGGCGACCUACCUUCGAGUGGGGGAUAACCUUCCGAAAGGAGGGCUAAUACCGCAUGACAUUCCGUGUUUGGAUACACGGGUAUCAAAGCCGGGGAUCGCAAGACCUGGCGCCUGAAGAGGGGCCCGCGUCCGAUUAGCUAGUUGGUGAGGUGACGGCUCACCAAGGCAACGAUCGGUAUCCGGCCUGAGAGGGCGGACGGACACACUGGGACUGAGACACGGCCCAGACUCCUACGGGAGGCAGCAGUGGGGAAUUGUUCGCAAUGGGCGCAAGCCUGACGACGCAACGCCGCGUGGAGGAUGAAGACUUUCGGGUCGUAAACUCCUUUCGACCAGGAUGAAUUCCUGCCGACCUAACACGUCGGCGGGGUGACAGUACUGGGAGAAGAAGCCCCGGCUAACUCCGUGCCAGCAGCCGCGGUAAUACGGGGGGGGCAAGCGUUG
rnacentral:rRNA from 1 species